GACGAGCGCUGGCGGCGUGCUUAACACAUGCAAGUCGAACGGAAAGGCCCUGCUUUUGUGGGGUGCUCGAGUGGCGAACGGGUGAGUAACACGUGAGUAACCUGCCCUUGACUUUGGGAUAACUUCAGGAAACUGGGGCUAAUACCGGAUAGGAGCUCCUGCUGCAUGGUGGGGGUUGGAAAGUUUCGGCGGUUGGGGAUGGACUCGCGGCUUAUCAGCUUGUUGGUGGGGUAGUGGCUUACCAAGGCUUUGACGGGUAGCCGGCCUGAGAGGGUGACCGGCGACAUUGGGACUAAGAUACGGCCCAGACUCCUACGGGAGGCAGCAGUGGGGAAUAUUGCACAAUGGGCGGAAGCCUGAUGCAGCAACGCCGCGUGCGGGAUGACGGCCUUCGGGUUGUAAACCGCUUUCGCCUGUGACGAAGCGUGAGUGACGGUAAUGGGUAAAGAAGCACCGGCUAACUACGUG
rnacentral:rRNA from 1 species